rnacentral:rRNA from 1 species
GACGAACGCUGGCGGCGUGCCUAAUACAUGCAAGUAGAACGCUGAAGGAGGAGCUUGCUUCUCUGGAUGAGUUGCGAACGGGUGAGUAACGCGUAGGUAACCUGCCUGGUAGCGGGGGAUAACUAUUGGAAACGAUAGCUAAUACCGCAUAAGAGUAGAUGUUGCAUGACAUUCGCUUAAAAGGUGCAAUUGCAUCACUACCAGAUGGACCUGCGUUGUAUUAGCUAGUUGGUGGGGUAACGGCUCACCAAGGCGACGAUACAUAGCCGACCUGAGAGGGUGAUCGGCCAAACUGGGACUGGAGCACGGCCCAGAACACUACGGGAGGGAGCAGUAGGGAAUCAUUGGCCAUGGACGGAAGGCUGAACGAGGAACGCCGGGGGAGGGAAGGAAGGUGUCGGAUCGUAAAACUCUGUUGUAAGGGAAGAACGAGUAUGAGAGUGGAAAGUUCACACUGUGACGGUAUCUUAACAGAAAGGAACGGCUAACUACGUG